rnacentral:rRNA from 1 species
UACAGAGGGGGCGAGCGUUGUUCGGAAUUACUGGGCGUAAAGGGCGCGUAGGCGGCCUGCUAAGUCGAACGUGAAAUCCCCGGGCUCAACCCGGGAACUGCGUCCGAUACUGGUUGGCUUGAAUCCGGGAGAGGGAUGCGGAAUUCCAGGUGUAGCGGUGAAAUGCGUAGAUAUCUGGAGGAACACCGGUGGCGAAGGCGGCAUCCUGGACCGGCAUUGACGCUGAGGCGCGAAAGCCAGGGGAGCAAAGCGGG